rnacentral:rRNA from 1 species
GACGAACGUUGGCGGCGUGCUUAACACAUGCAAGUCGAACGGAAAGGCCCUGCUUUUGUGGGGUGCUCGAGUGGCGAACGGGUGAGUAACACGUGAGUAACCUGCCCUUGACUUUGGGAUAACUUCAGGAAACUGGGGCUAAUACCGGAUAGGAGCUCCUGCUGCAUGGUGGGGGUUGGAAAGUUUCGGCGGUUGGGGAUGGACUCGCGGCUUAUCAACUUGUUGGUGGGGUAGUGGCUUACCAAGGCUUUGACGGGUAGCCGGCCUGAGAGGGUGACCGGCCACAUUGGGACUGAGAUACGGCCCAGACUCCUACGGGAGGCAGCAGUGGGGAAUAUUGCACAAUGGGCGGAAGCCUGAUGCAGCAACGCCGCGUUCGGGAUGACGGCCUUCGGGUUGUAAACCGCUUUCGCCUGUGACGAAGCGUGAGUGACGGUAAUGGGUAAAGAAGCACCGGCUAACUACGUGCCAGCAGCCGCGGUGAUACGUAGGGUGCGAGCGUUGUCCGGAUUUAUUGGGCGUAAAGGGCUCGUAGGUGGUUGAUCGCGUCGGAAGUGUAAUCUUGGGGCUUAACCCUGAGCGUGCUUUCGAUACGGGUUGACUUGAGGAAGGUAGGGGAGAAUGGAAUUCCUGGUGGAGCGGUGGAAUGCGCAGAUACCAGGAGGAACACCAGUGGCGAAGGCGGUUCUCUGGGCCUUUCCUGACGCUGAGGAGCGAAAGCGUGGGGAGCGAACAGGCUUAGAUACCCUGGUAGUCCACGCUGUAAACGGUGGGUACUAGGUGUGGGGUCCAUUCCACGGGUUCCGUGCCGUAGCUAACGCUUUAAGUACCCCGCCUGGGGAGUACGGCCGCAAGGCUAAAACUCAAAGGAAUUGACGGGGCCCCGCACAAGCGGCGGAGCAUGCGGAUUAAUUCGAUGCAACGCGUAGAACCUUACCUGGGUUUGACAUGGAUCGGGAGUGCUCAGAGAUGGGUGUGCCUCUUUUGGGGUCGGUUCACAGGUGGUGCAUGCCUGUCGUCAGCUCGUGUCGUGAGAUGUUGGGUUAAGUCCCGCAACGAGCGCAACCCUUGUUCACUGUUGCCAGCACGUUAUGGUGGGGACUCAGUGGAGACCGCCGGGGUCAACUCGGAGGAAGGUGGGGAUGACGUCAAGUCCUCAUGCCCCUUAUGUCCAGGGCUUCACGCAUGCUACAAUGGCUGGUACAGAGAGUGGCGAGCCUGUGAGGGUGAGCGAAUCUCGGAAAGCCGGUCUCAGUUCGGAUUGGGGUCUGCAACUCGACCUCAUGAAGUCGGAGUCGCUAGUAAUCGCAGAUCAGCAACGCUGCGGUGAAUACGUUCCCGGGGCU